GNUGAACGCUGGCGGUAUGGAUAAGGCAUGCAAGUCGAACGGGUUUAGACCCGUGGCAGACGAGGUAGUAUAAGGUAGGAACGUACCCGGAAGUCGUGCAUAACCAGUCGAAAGAUUGGACAACUCACGAUGGUCUCGAAAGAGUAAAGGUUUACCGCUUCCGGAGCGGCCUGCUGUGUAUCAGCUAGUUGGUAGUGUAAUGGACUACCAAGGCUAUGACGCAUAGGGGAGCUGAGAGGCUGACCCCCACCGAUUGGACUGAGACACGGCCAAUACCCCUACGGGGGGCUGCAGCCGAGAAUAUUCGACAAUGGGCGAAAGCCUGAUCGAGCGAUACCGCGUGGUGGAUGAAGCGCUUCGGCGUGUAAACAUCUUUUAUGGAGGAGGAAGUAAUUGACGUUACUCCAUGAAUAAGGGGCUCCUAACUCUGUG
rnacentral:rRNA from 1 species